UACGUAGGGCGCAAGCGUUAUCCGGAAUUAUUGGGCGUAAAGAGCUCGUAGGCGGUUUGUCGCGUCUGCUGUGAAAGCCCGGGGCUCAACCCCGGGUCUGCAGUGGGUACGGGCAGACUAGAGUGAUGUAGGGGAGACUGGAAUUCCUGGUGUAGCGGUGAAAUGCGCAGAUAUCAGGAGGAACACCGAUGGCGAAGGCAGGUCUCUGGGCAUUUACUGACGCUGAGGAGCGAAAGCAUGGGGAGCGAACAGG
rnacentral:rRNA from 1 species